rnacentral:rRNA from 1 species
GAAAAGCGUAACAAGGUUUCCGUAGGUGAACCUGCGGAAGGAUCAUUA